UACGAGGGGGGCAAGCGUUGUUCGGAUUUAUUGGGCGUAAAGGGUGCGUAGGCGGUUUGGCAAGUCUGAUGCGAAAUCUAUGGGCUCAACCCAUAGUCUGCAUCAGAAACUGCCGGGCUUGAGUAUGGGAGAGGUGAGUGGAAUUUCCGGUGUAGCGGUGAAAUGCGUAGAUAUCGGAAGGAACACCUGUGGCGAAAGCGGCUCACUGGACCAUAACUGACGCUGAUGCACGAAAGCUAGGGGAGCAAACAGG
rnacentral:rRNA from 1 species